rnacentral:rRNA from 1 species
ACAUGUGAUGCUACAACCCAACUGGGGGAUCGCUCGGCUCGAGUGCCGAUGAAGGUCGUGACAAGCUGCGAUAAGCUGCGGGGAGGUGCAUGAAUACCAUGGAUCCGCAGAUUGCCGAAUGGGACUUCCCGAAUAAUCGCGAUGCGAUGGGGAACCCUCCGAAUUGAAGCAUCUUAGUAGGAGGAGGAAAUGAAAUCAAUAGAGAUUCCGUAAGUAGUGGCGAAUGAACACGGAAUAGGACAAGCCGAAUCCCGAAACGAAAGUGAGGGAGAUGUGGUUGGCAGUCUUUUGUCUAAGUCAUAGAAGGUGAAGUUGCCUGGAAUGGCACAUCCAUAGAGGGUGAAAGUCCCGUAACCGUAUAUGAUAUGACCACGUGACUGUCAAAGAGUAGCAUGCGUUGGAAAUCGCGUGUGAAUGUGGGAGGCAGAUACUUCCAAUCCUAAAUACAACUCGAGACCGAUAGUUUACAAGUAACGUGAGUGAAAGCUGAAAAGUAUCCUUGGCGGGAUGUGAAAAGACCGUGAAACCAGUUGGGUACAGGCUGAUUGGGCGUGAAAGCGAUGAUAUGAGCAGCGUCCAGUCGUGCGUUUAGAAAAAUGCCCCAGGGAGUUUUGAUCAAUGGCGAGGUUAAGGGGUUGAUCCCCGAAGCCGAAGGGAAACCGACAAGUCCGCAGCAGUUUACUGUGAGGGACGAAGUGUGCUCGCUUGGAGUCAUUGGUGGAAGACCUGAAGCCCCUCGAUCUAUGCCUGGCCAGAUUGAAGCCCGUUGAAAGAUGGGUGGAGGAUCGCACCGUUGCUGAUCUGCAAAUCGCUCGGACGAGCUGGGUAUAGGGGUGAAAGUCCAAUCGAGAGGGGCAAUAGCAGGUUCCGCGUGAAACUACUCGUAGGUAGACGUUAGUGGAGAUAGAUUACGCUGUAGAGCACUGAUUGUGCGUUUAGGGGAAGCGAUUCCUCGGCGUGCUGCCAAACUCCGAAGGUGUAAUCGUUGUAGAUACUAGCAGUGAGUGAUGGUGGGUAAGCUACCAUUACGUAAGGUGAACAAACCAGCCUGAAGUUAAGGUCCCUAAAUAUCAGUUAAGUGUCACAGACAAACCGUGUCCGUGGUCGAAAACAACCAGAAGGUGGGCUUAGAAGCAGCCAUCCUUGAAAGAG